ACAUGGAUACUAAUUAAAAACAAGAAUCUUCCACAGCAGUUGGUUGGGUCAGUGGAUUGUGGAGUAUUCAUGUUGAUGUAUGCUCUGCACCUUGUCUUGGAUA